UAUAAAAUUAAUAAAACAUAAGGGUGUAUCAAUGAUUUUUUUUAGCAGCCUAAUCUAGCCUAUAAUUAUCGAUUUGAUACAAAUUCUUUAUUGAUCUUGUGAACGCUAAAAAAUUAUAACAAAAGAAGAUUAGGAAGAAGAUUGUAAGAUGUAUUUUAUUUUGUUUUUGAUUUGAUGUGGUCGAUGAAGUAAUUGAUACAAAUUAUGGUUAGGAUCAAUGUCGUUGGGGGAUUUUUUUUUUUUUUUAAGCAAAGAGGUUGUUGGCUUUGUCUGGUUUUGAUAUUUUAUUUUAUUAUUUUUGGUACCAAGUUAAAAAUGCCCUUGAAUUUAGGGUAAAACUGUCAUUUACUUGGAUUUUGUUACAUAUUAUAAUGAUGCGUUUACUAAAUUGGAAUCAGAAUGGGUUGGAAUCGGAAUGGGCAGGAAUGUGAAUGGGCUAGAAUGGGAAUAAAGAAUGAGAAUCAAAAUAAAUUGUUUACUUGAAAUGUAGGAAUCGAAAUCGGAAUGAGCUGGAUUGCCAUUAAUGUGUUUACUUUGUCUUGGAAUCGGAAUCGGAAUGAGUUAAAUUGUAACAAAUUACUAAAAAGUACUUAAUAAUUAUUGUCAUAAUUAUUAUUAACUAAUAUAUUAAUUAAUU
rnacentral:lncRNA from 1 species